rnacentral:rRNA from 1 species
UGCGCAGGCGGCUUAUUAAGUCAGUGGUGAAAUCUCUCGGCUCAACCGAGAAACUGCCAUUGAAACUGAUAAGCUUGAGUGUAGUUGUAGUAGGCGGAAUAUAGCAUGUAGCGGUGAAAUGCUUAGAUAUGCUAUAGAACACCGAUCGCGAAGGCAGCUUACUAAACUAUUACUGACGCUCAUGCACGAAAGCGUGGGGAGCAAACAGGAUUAGAUACCCUGGUAGUC